rnacentral:rRNA from 1 species
CCCUUAGAUGUUCUGGGCCGCACGCGCGCUACACUGAUCGAUUCAACGAGUUUUGAAAUAAUUUUUUGAUUUUUUCAUAUCCUUUGUCGGAAGGCAUGGGUAAUCUUUUAAAUGUCGAUCGUGAUGGGGCUAGAUUCUUGCAAUUAUUAAUCUCCAACGAGGAAUUCCUAGUAAACGCAAGUCAUCAGCUUGCAUUGAUUACGUCCCUGCCCUUUGUACACACCGCCCGUCGCACCUACCGAUUGAGUGGUCCGGUGAGGCUUUGGGAUCUGAGCGGAAAGAGCGUUUCGCUGUUUCUGCUCGGAAAACUCAGUCGAACCUUAUCAUUUAGAGGAAGGAGAAGUCGUAACA